rnacentral:rRNA from 1 species
GACAGAGGGGGCUAGCGUUGCUCGGAAUCACUGGGCGUAAAGCGCACGUAGGCGGAUUGUUAAGUCAGGGGUGAAAUCCUGGAGCUCAACUCCAGAACUGCCUUUGAUACUGGCGAUCUCGAGUCCGGGAGAGGUGAGUGGAACUGCGAGUGUAGAGGUGAAAUUCGUAGAUAUUCGCAAGAACACCAGUGGCGAAGGCGGCUCACUGGCCCGGUACUGACGCUGAGGAGCGAAAGCCAGGGGAGCAAACGGG